rnacentral:rRNA from 1 species
CCUGGCUCAGGAUGAACGCUAGCUACAGGCUUAACACAUGCAAGUCGAGGGGAAACGAUAUUGGAAGCUUGCUUCCGAUAGGCGUCGACCGGCGCACGGGUGAGUAACGCGUAUCCAACCUGCCCAUCACGUUGGGGAUAACCUUGCGAAAGUAAGACUAAUACCCAAUGACGUCUCUAGAAGACAUCUGAAGGAGAUUAAAGAUUUAUCGGUGAUGGAUGGGGAUGCGUCUGAUUAGCUUGUUGGCGGGGUAACGGCCCACCAAGGCGACGAUCAGUAGGGGUUCUGAGAGGAAGGUCCCCCACAUUGGAACUGAGACACGGUCCAAACUCCUACGGGAGGCAGCAGUGAGGAAUAUUGGUCAAUGGGCGAGAGCCUGAACCAGCCAAGUAGCGUGCAGGAUGACGGCCCUAUGGGUUGUAAACUGCUUUUAUAAGGGAAUAAAGUGGGAGUCGUGACUCUUUUUGCAUGUACCUUAUGAAUAAGGACCGGCUAAUUCCGUG